AUGGCCACGGUACGCCAGAGCAACGGCCACGGUGAGGCCGCCGCCGCCAACGGCAAGAGCAACGGGCACGCCGCCGCGAACGGCAAGAGCAACGGCCAUGCCGCGGCGGCGGCGGAUUGGAAUUUCGCGGGGGGCAAGGACGGCAUCCUGGCGAGGACGGGGGCCAAGAACAGCAUCCGGGCGAUACGGUACAAGAUCAGCGCGAGCGUGGAGGAGAGCGGGCCAAGGCCCGUGCUGCCGCUGGCCCACGGGGACCCGUCCGUGUUCCCGGCCUUCCGCACGGCCGUCGAGGCCGAGGACGCCGUCGCCGCCGCGCUGCGCACCGGGCAGUUCAGCUGCUACGCCGCCGGCGUCGGCCUGCCCGCCGCACGAAGAGCUGUAGCAGAGCACUUGUCACAGGGCGUGCCCUACAAGCUAUCGGCCGACGACAUCUUCCUCACCGCCGGUGGAACUCAAGCGAUCGAGGUCAUAAUCCCGGUCCUGGCCCAAACUGCCGGCGCCAACAUCCUGCUCCCCAGGCCAGGCUACCCGAACUACGAGGCGCGCGCGGCGUUCAACAAGCUGGAGGUUCGGCAUUUCGACCUUAUCCCCGAGAAGGGGUGGGAGAUCGACAUCGACUCGCUGGAGUCCAUCGCCGACAAGAACACAACCGCGAUGCUCAUCAUAAACCCAAACAAUCCGUGCGGCAGCGUUUACUCCUACGACCAUUUGGCCAAGGUCGCGGAGGUGGCGAGAAAGCUCGGAAUAUUGGUGAUUGCUGAUGAGGUGUACGGCAAGCUGGUUCUGGGCAGCGCCCCAUUUAUCCCCAUGGGCGUCUUCGGGCACAUUGCCCCUGUCUUGUCCAUCGGAUCUCUGUCCAAGUCAUGGAUAGUGCCCGGAUGGCGACUUGGAUGGGUGGCGGUGUACGACCCCACAAAGAUUUUAGAGGAAACUAGGAUCUCUACAUCUAUUACGAAUUACCUUAACGUCUCAACGGACCCAGCAACCUUCGUCCAGGCUGCUCUUCCUCAAAUUCUUGAGAACACAAAAGAAGAUUUCUUUAAGAGGAUUAUUGGUCUACUAAAGGAAUCAUCAGAGAUAUGUUAUAGAGAAAUAAAGGAAAAUAAAUACAUUACAUGUCCUCACAAGCCAGAAGGAUCGAUGUUUGUAAUGGUGAAACUAAACUUACAUCUUUUGGAGGCGAUCCAUGAUGACAUUGAUUUUUGUUGCAAGCUCGCAAAGGAAGAAUCAGUAAUUUUAUGUCCAGGGAGUGUUUUGGGAAUGGAAAAUUGGGUCCGCAUUACUUUUGCUUGCGUUCCAUCUUCUCUUCAAGAUGGUCUUGAAAGGAUCAAAUCAUUCUGUCAAAGGAACAAGAAGAAGAAUUCAAUAAAUGGUUGUUAG
rnacentral:rRNA from 1 species